UAAUAACAACAAUAGUAAUAAUAACAAUAAUAGUAAUAAUAACAAUAAUAAUAACAAUAAUAAUAACAAUAAUAAUAAUAAUAAUAAAAUGAUAAUACCUAAUAGUGAUGGACAAAACAGUGAUAAUGAAUAUUCACCAACAAAAAGAACAAGAGCACCAAGAGGAAGAAGAAUGGAAAGUUUAACUGCUCGUGCAAGUGCAUUGCCACAAGUUGAGGGAGUUCGCUUCGAUCCACAUUCUUAUUCAUGGUUUGCUAAAUAUUUAGAACAUGAAGAUUCGAAAGAACCUAAAAUUUCAAAAUAUUUAUUAAAAAAAUGGGGAUUUAAUAAAGCACAUGCUUUAGCUGUACAUACUGUUAAUUGUGCAUACAAAGCUGUUCCUUUCACAGAUGAAGAAUUAAUGAAUAUUUUUAACAUAGAUGUAAACAAUGUUAUGAAUAACCAACGUAAUAGGAUGUUAAGUAUGUCACCAUAUAACGAUAUGUAUAAAGGAAUGCAUAAUGAAAAUAAUGGUAUGGGUAAUAAUAUGGGAAAUAAUAUGGGAAAUAAUAUGGGAAAUAAUAUGGGAAAUAAUAUGGUUAAUAAUAUGGGUAAUAAUAUGGGUAAUAAUAUGGGUGUUAAUAAUGUAUUUAAUAUGAAUAAUUACAAUAACAAUAUGAUGAAUGUAAAUAAUAAUAAUAAUGUUAUGAAGAAUAUGGAAAAAGAUAAUAACAAUAAUAACAAUAAUAGUAGUAAUUGUAGUGAUAGUAGUAAUACUAGUAGUAAUACUAGUGGUAAUAAUAAUAAUAAUAAUGUAACAAGUUCAGGUAAUAUGGGUAAUACUAUAAAUAACACUAAUAGCUACAAAGGUAAUACAAAUGAGAAAAAAAUGAUGAAAAAUAUGAACCAGAUGAAUGGCAUGGGUCAGAUGAAUGGCAUGGGUCAAAUGAAUGGCAUGGGUCAGAUGAAUGGCAUGGGUCAGAUGAAUAGUAUGGGUCAGAUGAAUAGUAUGGGUCAGAUGAAUAAUAUGAACCAGAUGAACAACGGUUAUAAUAUGAACACUAACGAAGGAAGAUUUAGUAAUAAAAAUUCGAACAUAAAAAGUGGAAAUAGUGACACAACUCCUGUUUCAAAUAAUAUUGAUAUGAGUAAGAUUAACAAUAGUUUAGGAAACAAAAAAAUGAAAUCAACAAAAAGAGUAUGACAAAUAUUUAUACAAUUACAAAUACUGGUAGUAAUAAUACUGGUAGUAAUAAUACUGGUAGUAAUAAUACUGGUAGUAAUAAUACUGGUAGUAAUAAAGGAACUGAUUGUAAAAGCGGUCGUAGCUUC
rnacentral:lncRNA from 1 species